CUCCUACGGGGCGCAGCAGUGGGGAAUAUUGCACAAUGGGGGGAACCCUGAUGCAGCGACGCCGCGUGGGUGAAGGAGCACCUCGGUGCGUAAAGCCCUAUCGGCAGGGAAGAAACAGACGGUACCUGCAGAAGAAGCCCCGGCUAACUACGUGCCAGCAGCCGCGGUAAUACGUAGGGGGCAAGCGUUAUCCGGAUUCAUUGGGCGUAAAGCGCGCGCAGGCGGGCCGCUAAGCGGGACCUCUAAUCUUUGGGCUCAACCUCAAGCCGGGUCCCGAACUGGCAGCCUCGCGUGCGG
rnacentral:rRNA from 1 species